rnacentral:rRNA from 1 species
GAUGAACGCUGGCGGCGUGCCUAAUACAUGCAAGUCGAGCGAACGGACGAGAAGCUUGCUUUUCUGAUGUUAGCGGCGGACGGGUGAGUAACACGUGGAUAACCUACCUAUAAGACUGGGAUAACUUCGGGAAACCGGAGCUAAUACCGGAUAAUAUUUUGAACCGCAUGGUUCAAAAGUGAAAGACGGUCUUGCUGUCACUUAUAGAUGGAUCCGCGCCGCAUUAGCUAGUUGGUAAGGUAACGGCUUACCAAGGCAACGAUGCAUAGCCGACCUGAGAGGGUGAUCGGCCACACGGGAACUGAGACACGGUCCAGACUCCUACGGGAGGCAGCAGUAGGGAAUCUUCCGCAAUGGGCGAAAGCCUGACGGAGCAACGCCGCGUGAGUGAUGAAGGUCUUCGGAUCGUAAAACUCUGUUAUUAGGGAAGAACAGAUGUGUAAGUAACUGUGCACAUCUUGACGGUACCUAAUCAGAAAGCCACGGCUAACUACGUG